UGAAAUGACAGCCCCGUUGAAAAAAACAGCAUAUGCUGGUUAGGUAUGUUUUGAAGCAUGGUAGCUGGUUUAAGCUGAGAACCAGCCGGUUGCAUAAAGCACCUUAAGUGUAAUUUUGCCUUAAGUGUGUCCUUAAGUAUACCUUAAGUUUUACUAAAGUUAUUCUCCUAUUGUCUUCGGUAAAGGGAAAUCACCUCUAAAGUGUCAUACUUAAGGGAAAAAAUUAAGCUGCUUUAUGCAACCGGGCCCCGCACAUGACCAGCUCAAACCAGCUACCAUGCUUCAAAACAUACCUAACUACAGUAGCAUAAGGCUGUUUUUUUCAACAGGGAGAGAAAGCACAUGGCAGUAAACAUGACAAAAGUUGCAAUAGUCUAGCCAACAAAAACAUGAUUAAUGAUAAUCAUUAAUAAAUUCAUUUUUUCUCAUAUCAUGAAUGGCUAUGGCCUAACCACUACAGUCCAUACAUUAAACCUGGUUAGCUCAGAGAGAAAAACCUUAAAGACAGGAGAAUGGACUGAUUUAAAACUGCAGUUAAAGAAACAUAUGAAAACAAACGUAAUCAGAAUAGAACUUUGGAGAAUGUGGCCAGAGGCUUAACAGAUUUGUUCAAAUUCAAGAGGAUCAUUCUAGGACAAUACAUCGAGCUGUAAGUUACCAUAAUGUUAAUACAUUUAGUAAUGAUCUUUUCAUAUAGGCCUGCAGUAUGUCAUAAGCAUCUUGUUUGCUCUUUUGCUAUUUUGUAAAAGUAGUGGCUGCAUUUUUGUUGAUUGUCGUCAGCCCUAAUUUUGUUUCAUGUAAUGGCACUGAAACAUUUUAUAUUUGUGUGCCUGUUUUUUAGAAACCACUUCCAAGCACCAAACGUGUGUAUUCAUUAAACUUGUACCAUACAUUAGUUAAUUUUAUUCAUAUACUGCAAUGAAAACAUCUGACCAAUUAAAUAUAUAGCAACAUUCAAAUAAAACUAAACACGUUUAUUUUCUUUUAAAAACAACCUAUCUUAACUAUAGCUGUUGUUACUACACUUGCUAUUGGUAAACAGAUGUCAUUGGUUGACUCCCCGUGCUGCUUUGAGCACGAUUGGGUAAACUUACUGUCAUUCAGGAAACUAGCCAAUUAGAGCUGUUCGCGCCCUUCACUGGUUCAUUUUGAACAUACGCGAGGAAUUGAUGUCUGUCAGUUAGUUUCAGUAGUAUUGAUGGUCCAGUUAUAUGUAAACAGCGCUGAAGACACGAAGUCGUGUGGAAGUUGCAGGCUGCUGGAGAAUAAUCACACGCAUUAACAGCUUUACCAGCAGAAGUACACAGAAAUAUAUGAUAAGAUUUGCCUGGGCAGUACACACACCUGAUGAAGGGAAGAAAAGCUACCCAGGCACCCAAACUCCAUCGGUAGUAAGUGUUUAAACAUUCGACCUGAGUAUUUGUAUUAUGUUGUUAUUAACAAUUGUGUAAUAUUAUGUAUGCUUAAUACUGUUAUAAUGUAACUCUGUAACCGUUUGGGUUACGUAUUUCUUGGGUUAAAACAUAACAAAAUAAGGGACUUUUUAUUUUCUAACUCUUACAAUAACAAUCACGUACAGUUAAACAUUUACAUCAUUUGUGAAAGAAAAAUUGUCCAUUCCUUUAAACUGGUGACUUGUUUUGCUGAUUUAAUGAUGGAAGUUAUAAGACUUACAUUUAAGUUAGCAUUGUAACUUGUUUUCUAACAGUAUACUCUGUAUUCACAUUGCCGUAAUGUAUAAUGAUGGCAGAUUCAGUCCUUUAUCUAACGUUACUACAUUGCAUAUUUGCCACAGACUCAUUUACUUUUUUGUGGUAUGUUUUUACUUAUGGUAUGAUUUACUUAUUCUGACAGUUUGAUGUUUGUCCAAAUAUACUAUCAAAACUUCCUCCGAUACCUUUUUGUGACCCUGUGUAAAUGUUUUCAACACCACUUGAAACUGUUGUAUUUCUCCAGGAUUAAAAGUUUGUUUUAUAAGAAUUUGAUGAAUGUAUUGUAUGGGGAUGUACUUUUUAUUUAUUUAUUAUAUUCAACCAUUUGUUUAAAGCAUAUACUGUAAUUCUGUACUGUAAAGAAGUCAAUCAUUGUGUAUUUCGAGUGUACAUUUACAAAUUAUGGUGAUUGUGUUCAUAUGAUUAAUAUGUUUACCUAAAUAAAAUGUUAUUCUACAAUGCUAAACAUGUGUUUUUCAUUUUAUUGACAGUAUCUGACUAGUAAUUCAUGGCCAAUAUCUGUAAAGUUACAGAGCAUUUACUGUAUUAAAAGUAUUUGACUGAAAAAAUUCAGGAAAGAAACUGUAAAAUAACAGUGUUUUUCUGCAGAACAUUAGUACUUUCACAUAGUUUAAAGAGGUUUAUCAUUAUAAUUCAGAAAAAAAAGCAUAAAAUAACAGUAUUUUUCUGUAAAACCUUAUGUGCAGUCACUUUAUUGAAGGUGUUUGAUCGUAAUAAUUAAGGAAAAGUCUGUGAAAUAACUGUGUUUCCCUGUAAAACAUUUAAAGAAAAAUUACGUAAAUGUAAUGUUUUUCUCCAUUAUUUGAUUUACGGAGUUUCAUCUUAAUUUUAUGGUUUUUGUUUGGCAGCCGCUGCUGCCAGUGAUUUGACCGUUUUUUUACGAUAUUUUUUUUUACAGUGCAUGAGCAGACAUCAGACAGAGAACAUGAAACAUUAACGACUGACAAAAGACAACUGGAACAUAAGGACUAUUUAUACACAGGGGAAAAAGAGCUAACAAGAAACACCUGUGGCCUGCAUCACGAAGCCGGUUUUGGUUUUUACCCAGGUACGUUCGCGUUUAGUUUGAGCACACUCUGAGUUUUCGGGCUCAAGAAGGUGGAUUGGUUUUGAGUGGGUUUCGUCGACAUGGUAACUCAGGCUACAAGGCUAACCUGCUCCGGAGCAGGUUUUAUUCUGGGUUAGAGAUGCAGUGAAGCCACUCCCCAUGUGUUUCUCGCUCCAAAUUAAAAAAAGAUUAAAGUGAUAAGAGUAAGAUGUAAGAGGGAAAAUAUUUUUCUGCUAAGUGUUUAUUUGUAUUGUAUAUUUACAUUUAUUGAUUGGUUUGUCUGGUUUUGUCAACUCAAAACUUAAUCUGCAACUCAGUAUUUGUUGACCUCGCUUUGUGAUACAGGCCACUGGCAAGAAUGAACAUGGAACCAAUAGACGACAGCACUACAAAUGACUACAAAAUAAAACAGGAAACAUUAAGUAAUGUAAAAGUCCACAAUAACAAGGGGAACACAGACCAGGGGCCCGUUUCAGAAAGGAGGUUUAGUGAAAACUGAGUAUUUUGUGUCAGGAUUUGCACGGGAAGAACCCAAUUGCAGGCAGGCAGUGAAGGGGUUAACACAACAAGACUUUAUUAAUUAAUAAAACACAAAACAAACACCCUCGAUGGGGAAAAACAGAACUGAGAGAUUAAUACACAACAAAAGACUUCCCACGAGGGGGCAAAACGAAAGCAAGAACAGUAAAAACUCAACUAAAGGACACGACAAAACGUCUUAAAUCUACACAUGACAAGGGUAAAACACAAAAUUCACAGAACACGGGCACGGCUAGGGACAGGAACACUCGACAAGCAAAACACAGUACAUCCAGGGUACACAUACAUAGUACAAUAAACGAGCACAAGACAAAGAAACAUGAGGGCAUUUAUAGGUAAGACAAACGAAGGAUAACGAGCGAGGGCAGGUGGGAAACAUUAGACAUGGAAGGGAAGCAAUACAUGAAACGAGAGGGGCGGGGCCAAUGACGAGACACGAGAAAACACAUGAGAAGUAAAAACAAACAACUCAUGGCUUUCUCACAUAAAACCUAAGGGCUCUGUCCCGAUCCUGCCACAUGACUAGAAAUUCAUAAACAAGAAGGUAGGACCGUGACAAUUUUGACCCUGAAAUGAGGGAAACUCUGGGUUUUCCAUUUCAGAAUGUGAGGUAUGUCAAACCAGAGAAAGCGGGGUAACUCAAGCCCGUUUCUAAAGGAGAGGUAAUUUAUACUCAGAGUCAGUAACCAUAGUAACUUUCUGUGUGAACCUAACCUGGUCUGGAGAAGGUUUUCUUUGGUAAACCCAGAGUUUAUUUCGAUCUCCUCCCCCUUUUAAAGCGCAAGUGGUGUAACUCAUUCAUGGCACACAUUUUGAUCACACAGAGACCAUCUCAGUGACUUAUAUGUCAUAUGUGCUUUUAUAGAGGAUUCAUGAAGAGGCUGCAUUAAUUCAUUUAGAUGUACUUUGAUUUCAGGAGAGCAAUUUAGGACCCGAGUGGAAUUUUGUCAUUUCCCUGUGCAUUUUUAUUCAAACUGUACCGUUUUUCUUUACAGUGAAUUAGAUAUAUCAAAAUAUUUCUCAUCCAUCCUUACAUCAAUAACAUCAGCCACCGUACGUGUAUUACAUCAGAGCAUAAUUUUCUAUGGACGAUGAGAAAUAACUUAAUAAAGUGUAUAAAUAAAGUGCAUAAAUAAAUAAAUUAAUAAAUACAGACAUACAUGCAGAAAUGAAGCGAUAAAGGUAAUAAACAAGUAAUUCAGACGUGCAGCCAUUCCAACUGAAAUCUGCUCAGAGCAGGGUUCGAAUCAGUCUAACUUUGCACGAGAGUCUGACACCCUACAGGUGUCCUAUACACCAUGACGUCUCGUUUAUGUAACUAGGGCACUCAUGGCGAGUGAGAACAUACGAUUUAUUUAUUAUUUCUGUCUUAUUUCUGUUAUUUCAUUCAUUUCAUAAUUAAUUUAUUUGUUUAUUGGUACAUUUCUCUAUUUAUUAUUUUAAACUUCAGUCAUUUUCAGCACAUCAGUAAAUCCACAGUAUGCAGAGCGGAAAGCGCUUUCUGCCACCAUCUUGCUUUUUUUGGUGCCGUUGCCAUGGUGAAUGUAAUAUCGGAGCUCCAUUGAUGAUGGCUUUUUAUAGUCGUGGUGCACGCGCUUAACCCAGGGUAAGCCUACCCAGAGUAAAUUGAACUAACUCAAAUCAGCUGUUCUGAAACCAAAAACUCAAAGUUUCUAAUUUCUAUGUAAACCAACUCUGAGUUCAAGGUUUAACCUAGAGUUGGUUGAACCGCCUUAUCGAAACAGGCCCCUUAGUUCAAGUUACAUAAAGUAUAGAUUUAUUGAGAUGUUUGUAACUGUUAUUUUAACGUGUCUACCAUGGUAUUUUACCAAAAUUGUGUUGUGUAUAUGUAUUUGAUCACAUGGCUAAUUUUGAAGGCAGUAUAAAACCUCUUUUUUGUUCCUUCUCUGUAUGUUCCUUAAAAAAUCUACCUUUAUUUGGUUUUCUGAAGGUGACUUUGCAUUGUAUCAGCUUUAUUUGUAAUAAUUGCUGAUGUAGUCAUAUUAAUGGAGACUCUUUUAAUUCUAGAAACUACUACAUUGGUCAUAAUUUUGGAAAAAAAUGUGUAAUGCUUAUCAGUACACUACACUGUGUAUGAUAAUUAAUUUGCAGCAGAGGAUGAAGGUCUGCUGUGACAGAGGUAGAGGUUUAAAAUAUUAGGCCCAGUCACAUGUCCAAUAUAUCAUGUAGCCUAUAUAUAUCCCUUUCAAAUUUUGUUUUUCUCUUUGUUUCUUUUGACUUUGUUUGCUAAAAGGCCUUGGCUUUCCAAAUGUUAAAAGAGGUGGAAACGGCCUAUCCUAAAAGGUUAAUUGUAAUUUGGAGAAAGGCCUUUCAAUACUAAACUGUAGGAGGAGGCUGAGGAUCAGAAAGACAUUUUUAAGGAAUACAGUGAGUAUGAAAAACCUUAAGUCUAAGUUUUUUUAAUGUAUUUUUUAAUGUAAAUGGAUAUAAAAUUAUAAUAAGAAUUUAAAUAUUUGAAGAGUAUGCCAUAGGUGAUCCCAUUGGGGGUCACCUAAUAAAGCCUUGGAAUCGAACUUGCAACUUUUGAGUUUUAAAUCUGGCUCUCUAACCACUAGGCCACAACUUUCUUUGACCCAAUGCAUCAAAUAUUGCCUAAUAAGUGGACAAGAGUAAUGAUAUGCAAUUGCCCUGGAGUUAAAAUACAUCACUAUUAACACCCUUUAACUGUUGGAAAUUGUAAGGUCUGUAUAUUUAUCCAGUGAUAUUUGAGAUGUUUUAAUAAACCUAAUUCAAAGUAUAUACAGUAUUUAAUAUAAAUACAUAAAGUUUAACAAUAACAUCUUAUAUUAUUUUAUUUAAAGAUUAAUUCAUUUUAAAAGGUUAAAUAAUAAAGUUAAUAAUAAAAUUAGCUGUGAAUGCUAAAUUGUGACGGGUGAGAUUGGAAAUGUAAUUGUAAUAUAGCUGUAAAAUUAUAAUAUAUAUACGUAAUCUGUGCUUUCACGCCCACUUGACGCUCAUCAAAAACGCACAGACAACCCCUAAAGCUUAGUAACAUUUUCUUAAAAUGAACUUACCCAGGAACACAACCUGCUCCAGAGUAGGUUAUCUUCAGAGAGUAAGUUGCUAUGGUUACUUACCCUGAAAGUUACCUCUGUUUUUGGAACCAGCCUUGGAAAAUCAGCUAACUAACACUUAAACUUACCCGGGUAUGUCACAUAACCAGCUUUCUGGAAUACCCCCUGGAUCAUGACACUGUUGUUAUUGCCUAUGUGUUUUUAGUUUUUAGUAUGCGUGUAUGUCAUCAGUUUAUGUAAUCUGUAUUUGUUGUCCACCCUGUCCUCCAUUUAUGUUGUUUGUAUAUGUCUCACUGUUGUUGUGUCUGUUGUGUUGUGUGUUUGUCUCUUGUGAAUAUUGCCUUACUUAGACAAAUCGCCCUCAACUGUAAAUUGCUUAGGAUAAAAAAUUCUGCUAAAUGAAUAAACGUGAAUGUGUCUUGUCUAUGUCAUUCUGUAGCAAGUUUAGUUCAGUUUAUGCUUUGUAAGAUUUUCAGAUAUCAGUGAAAAAUUUGCAACAGAUUGUACAGAUGUCCUUGGAAACACAAAUUAAACAUUUACACAUUUUACUUAUGAAAGUUAUUUUUUUCAUGAAUCUGUAUUAGGUCAUGGCCUAAUGGUUAGAGCAGGGGUCCCCAAACUUGUUCCUGGAGGGCCGGUGUCCUGCAGAGUUUAGCUCCAACCUGCCUCAACACACCUGCCUGCAAGUUUCUGUUGUGCCUAUGAGACCUUGAUUAGCUGCUUCAGGUGUGUGAUUAGGGUUAAAGCUAAACUUGCAGGACACCGGCCCUCCAGACCCGAACCUGGGGACCCCUGGGUUAGAGAGUCGGACUCGUGACCAGAAGGUUGCCGGUUCGAUUCCCAGGGCCGGCGGGUAACGACUGAGGUGCCCUUGAGCAAGGCACCUUACCCCUACUUGCUCCCCGGGCAGCUGCAGAUAGCUGCCCACUGCUCCGGGUGUACGUGUGUUCACGACUUGCUGUGUGUGUGUUCACUACUUGCUGUGUGUGUGUGUGUGUGUGUGUGUGUGUGUGUUCACUACUCUCUGGAUGGGUUAAAAGCAGAGGUCACAUUUCGGGUAUGGGUCACCAUAUCUGACUAAUAGGUCACUUUCACUUCACUUCAUAUUCAGAGGUUAAGUAAUAUACAGACAACAUAAUCGGAUGACAGUGAGGACGACAUAUACAGAUGACGUGAAUGAACAUCAGGGAGGAUGACAUAUACAGAUUACAUAAGCGGACGACAGGAAGGAUGACAUAAACUGACCACAGGGAGGACAACAUAUAACAGGAAACACAGUUGACACAAUUUUGGCACAAGUGGAACCACAUAGUGUUUUGGUGUCAAACACACUUAAAGCUUCAUGUGCUUGUCAUCUCCUAUUGAGGAUAAAUUUAAGUCUGCUCUUAAAAAAGAAACAGUCGUAUAAGGAUGGCUAGAAUGCUUGUUCUGAAACCGUUUUGUGCAUGUCAAAAGUAUGGUUUGAAGUUUGUUACAUAUAAAUGCACAUAUCAAUCCAGUCACUGUUAGUGUUCAUGUAAACACUAUGUUCAGAUUCCUUAAUGUGGAAGAAUUCUUUCCAAUUUACACAAAAUAUGUCCAUGUAACAACUAUUGGGAAUAAAAUUGUAUUCCGAUUAAGAUGUUUACAUGAAGCAUUUACUUCCAAUAUCCUAUUUAUCUAACAAUAUGGGUAAAUAGGA